GACAUCUCAACAGACAGGUCACUGUGACAAUGAGACUGCUACAAAUGGGCACUGUGACUCUGCUGCUCUCAGCUACUGUCAAAGGCUACGCUGUGUGCAAAUCUGAAUGCACAACAGGAAUCCACGGGAACCCUAGCUGGACAGAAAGGCACCUUGGCUAGCAGUUACACUGGGAGUUUUCAGAAGGGCAAAUGAUUCACCCACAGCUUUUUUGCAUCAUUUUUUAUUUCUACAGAGGAUUCUGACAGAAGGCUCACUUCCCCUUGAGAGUUGUCCUUUUUCUCUAAAGGCUGGUGCACUUAUAUGGAGAGGCCAUGGAUUCUUCCUGAAGAUGUAGUGUUUGCUGGAGUGUUGAACAGUUACUGAAGAAUUUCUACUUUAAUGAGGGGAACAAGCCUGUUAAGAUUUGGCAGAAUUGCAGUGGUCUAUAUUUAAAUAUGUGAGACCUGGCCUUGUAAUCAGGUCUUCCUUCCUUUGGUCAGACGAUGGAAUAUUCUUGAGCUUACUGUGAGACUACUCUCAACAAGCAACAUGCAACAAACUGCGGAGCACAGUAAUGCACCGCAUGAGGUAGUACGUCCUGACCAGUUGCUCAUCUCGCUCCCUGCCUUGUUCCAGCAGAAGCCUUUGUGCAGUUAUGAAGUGGAUUGGAUGAGGCGACCGACCCACAUCAAAACAGGCUGCUGGGGCUAACUGGAUUGGUUUCCCAGGUGGGGUUCCCUGUUCUCACAUGAGGGCUAGCACAGGGAUGAAAGUGGGGUAAGUGGGCUGAAUGCUGGAUUGCUUAUUUUACAGCUGUCAGAGUAAGUCAGCUACAAAUAUUUGUGGAACUAUGGCCCCGGACUCCAUUCCAGGCAAAGAUUCCCUGGAAAUGUUGCUUUGAUUUGUUGAGGAGGACGACUCAUCUGUGGGCCAUUUUGUCUGAAACAGGAAUUCUCCUUUGGUGGUUCACAGUGCUUACUUCUGUUAAAAGGAAAAAUGACAAUAGUAAAAAAAUCAGACUUAAAGGUCUAAUAUGGAAUUUGGAAAAAACCUUACGCUGUUUAGUCUUUUUUCAGGUUGAUUUUUCUUAAUUUGCCAUGCUUCUAAACAGGACAAUCCAUCCUAGUGGAUUUCUGUUUGGCAAUACUGGGGACCCUUUUCAUUGUUUUCAACAACAAAGAAAAACCUGCCUAGUUGCCAUGCAUAUCGGAAGG